rnacentral:rRNA from 1 species
GACGAACGCUGGCGGCGUGCUUAACACAUGCAAGUCGAACGGAAAGGCCCUGCUUUUGUGGGGUGCUCGAUUGGCGAACGGGUGAGUAACACGUGAGUAACCUGCCCUUGACUUUGGGAUAACUUCAGGAAACUGGGGCUAAUACCGGAUAGGAGCUCCUGCUGCAUGGUGGGGGUUGGAAAGUUUCGGCGGGUGGGGAUGGACGCGCGGCUUAUCAGCUUGUUGGUGGGGUAGUGGCUUACCAAGGCUUUGACGGGUAGCCGGCCUGAGAGGGUGACCGGCCACAAUGGGACUGAGAUACGGCCCAGACUCGUACGGGAGGCAGCAGUGGGGAAUAUUGCACAAUGGGCGGAAGCCUGAUGCAGCAACGCCGCGGGCGGGAUGACGGCCUUCGGGUUGUAAACCGCUUUCGCCUGUGACGAAGCGUGAGUGACGGUAAUGGGUAAAGAAGCACCGGCUAACUACGUG